UACGAAGGGGGCUAGCGUUGUUCGGAAUUACUGGGCGUAAAGCGCGCGCAGGCGGCUAUCCAAGUCAGUGGUGAAAGCCCGGAGCUCAACUCCGGAACUGCCAUUGAAACUGUUUAGCUUGAGGACGAGAGAGGUGAGUGGAAUUCCCGGUGUAGCAGUGAAAUGCGUAGAUAUCGGGAGGAACAUCUGUGGCGAAGGCGACACCCUGGACCAGCACUGACACUGAGGCACGAAAGCGUGGGGAGCAAACAGG
rnacentral:rRNA from 1 species